GACCGUACCCCAAACCGACACAGGUGGACUGGUAGAGCAUACCAAGGCGCUUGAGAGAACUAUGCUGAAGGAACUCGGCAAAUUGCUCCCGUAAGUUCGCGAGAAGGGAGCCUCUGCAUUGGGCAACCAGUGUGGAGGGGCACAGACCAGGGGGUGGCGACUGUUUACUAAAAACACAGGGCUCUGCGAAGUCGCAAGACGACGUAUAGGGUCUGACGCCUGCCCGGUGCCGGAAGGUUAAAAGGAGGAGUGAGAGCUCCGAAUUGAAGCCCCGGUAAACGGCGGCCGUAACAAUAACGG
rnacentral:rRNA from 1 species